rnacentral:rRNA from 1 species
GACGUAGGUGGCGAACGUUAUCCGGAAUUAUUGGGCGUAAAGGGUGCGUAGAUGGUCUAGUAAGUUAGCAGUGGGAAAUCGAGGCUCAACCUCGUGGAAGCGUAGGUAAUACUUGUUAGGCUUGAGUACAGGAGAGGUUAACGGAACUCCAUGUGGAGCGGUAAAAUGCAUAGAUAUAUGGAUGAACACCAAUAACGGCGAAGGCAGUUAACUAUUCUGUUACUGACAUUGAGGCACGAAAGCGUGGGGAGCAAAACGG